CACUCCUACGGGAGGCAGCAGUGGGGAAUUUUGGACAAUGGGGGCAACCCUGAUCCAGCAAUGCCGCGUGAGUGAAGAAGGCCUUCGGGUUGUAAAGCUCUUUUGUCAGGGAAGAAACGGUGGUGGCGAAUAACUACUACUAAUGACGGUACCUGAAGAAUAAGCACCGGCUAACUACGUGCCAGCAGCCGCGGUAAUACGUAGGGUGCAAGCGUUAAUCGGAAUUACUGGGCGUAAAGCGUGCGCAGGCGGUUGGGUAAGUCAGAUGUGAAAUCCCCGGGCUCAACCUGGGAAUUGCAUUUGAGACUGCACGGCUAGAGUGUGUCAGAGGGGGGUAGAAUUCCACGUGUAGCAGUGAAAUGCGUAGAUAUGUGGAGGAAUACCGAUGGCGAAGGCAGCCCCCUGGGAUAACACUGACGCUCAUGCAUGAAAGCGUGGGGAGCAAACAGGAUUAGAUACCCGGGUAGUCCCA
rnacentral:rRNA from 1 species